UGGGGAAUAUUGGACAAUGGGGGCAACCCUGAUCCAGCAAUGCCGCGUGUGUGAAGAAGGUCUUCGGAUUGUAAAGCACUUUCGACGGGGACGAUGAUGACGGUACCCGUAGAAGAAGCCCCGGCUAACUUCGUGCCAGCAGCCGCGGUAAUACGAAGGGGGCUAGCGUUGCUCGGAAUGACUGGGCGUAAAGGGCGUGUAGGCGGUUUACACAGUCAGAUGUGAAAAUCC
rnacentral:rRNA from 1 species